rnacentral:SRP_RNA from 2 species
GCCGGGUGUGGUGGCUCACACCUGUAAUCCCAGCACUUUGGGAGGCUGAGGCGGGUGGAUCACCUGAGGUCGGGAGUUUGAGACCAGCCUGGCCAACAUGGUGAAACCCUGUCUCUA